rnacentral:rRNA from 1 species
UACGUAGGGCGCAAGCGUUAUCCGGAAUUAUUGGGCGUAAAGAGCUCGUAGGCGGUUUGUCGCGUCUGCCGUGAAAGUCCGGGGCUCAACUCCCGGAUCUGCGGUGGGUACGGGCAGACUAGAGUGAUGUAGGGGAGACUGGAAUUCCUGGUGUAGCGGUGAAAAUGCGCAGAUAUCAGGAAGAACACCAUGGCGAAAGCAGCUCUCUGGGACGGUAC